rnacentral:rRNA from 1 species
GACGAACGCUGGCGGCGUGCUUAACACAUGCAAGUCGAGCGAUGAAGUUCCUUCGGGAACGGAUUAGCGGCGGACGGGUGAGUAACACGUGGGUAACCUGCCUCAUAGAGGGGAAUAGCCUUUCGAAAGGAAGAUUAAUACCGCAUAAGAUUGUAGUUUCGCAUGAAACAGCAAUUAAAGGAGUAAUCCGCUAUGAGAUGGACCCGCGUCGCAUUAGCUAGUCGGUGAGGUAACGGCUCACCAAGGCGACGAUGCGUAGCCGACCUGAGAGGGUGAUCGGCCACAUUGGGACUGAGACACGGCCCGGACUCCUACGGGAGGCAGCAGUGGGGAAUAUUGCACAAUGGGGGAAACCCUGAUGCAGCAACGCCGCGUGAGUGAUGACGGUCUUCGGAUUGUAAAGCUCUGUCUUUAGGGACGAUAAUGACGGUACCUGAGGAGGAAGCCACGGCUAACUACGUGCCAGCCGCCGCAGUAA